CUGCUGCCGCUACCUGGAAUAUCCACACUGGAUAACUCGAAGCUUGGUGGAAACAGAGGUUGGAAAAAGCAGAAAAUAAAACAAAGGGAUGGAAGAUGGGUGCUCUGAAUUCCAUUUCCUUAGAAACCAACAAGAGCUCCUUCAGUAUGUCGUGGACACCUUCAGUUGAGCACAGCUCAGGCACCGCAAGGACACUCCGCUCAUGUAAGUUGGCCUUAGUAGGUUUUUCUUCCAUGAGUGAAUUUCUAUUCAGAGCAAGUAAAACACAGCCUGUGACACUGUUUGUCCCGAAUGUCAACAGCGCUCUCUGUGAUCAGCCCGUUGUACGAGGUGUUGGAAUACAUGAACAACGCAAACGGAAUAUCUCGUCUCUCAUUUCUGUCUUUAAUCAUUGGCUGCCUCCACUCCAGUUACACCUGGGCCGUGCUCUGAUCUGCAGGUUUAACUCCAGGGGAAACUUCACCUGUUUGAUGACAGCCGUCAAGUGAACCAGAUGUUACCUCUAGUAAGAAAGGAUGGGCAGGUAGAGUGUGAUGUCUGGGGUGCUCCUGACUCAGGGCGGCCUCCCUGGCUCCCCUCACCCAGUUGGACCUGGGUGCCCUUGUCCUACUCUUCUAUAGCAUCCUUGGCUUUUCCUUCAUGGUGCCCAUCACACAUUCCAGCGAGACACGGAUUUGUGGGAUUAUUUGCACCGGGUGAAGUUGGCCUGUUCCACUAGUUUCCUGACUCCAGGAGCUCAGAGCUUUUGUCAUUCUUUCUUCACUCUGUGCAUGUAACACACAAGAGACGUUUCCUGAAUGAAGGGCCCCUGAUGCUGUGGCACAAAUAACAAAACAUUGGGAAGUAGUACGUCUUGCCAGCCCUACUGCUGGCCCUGAAUGACUGGAACCAGUGCUUCAAUUUUAAACAUUUGAUUGACAAGUUAUUUUCAGCAGUUUGCCCUCAAAAGAUGACCUUGUGUCGUUUACUUCUAACCUGAUCUGGGCUUAGCGUAUCUACUCAUUCCUUAGGUCAGCCACAGCCUCAUAAGCAGCUACGUUCAAUCAGUCGUCACAGCCCUGGGCACAGACUUUCUCAGCAAGAGUAAUUUUCUCACUUAUGCUAACAAUUUGACUUCUUCAAACGCGUACUCUUUUUUUUUUUUUUUUUUUUUUUUUUUGAGACGGUGUCUCAUUAUGUUGCCCAGGCUGGACUUGAACUCCUGGGCUCAAGCAAUCCUCUGCCUCAGCUCCAGACUAGCUGGGACAUAGAUGCAUGUCACCGUGCCCAGCUCAAAAGCGUACUUUUACCUACACUGAUGAUAUCAAGACAUGAUAGAACAAAAAGCAUAUUUCCUGAGUGAUUUUUUAAAAAUUUCAACCGCCUGUACACAGACUGUAACACCAGCAGUCGUGAGGAAGUGCUUGGGACUUGCCGGUUCUCAGACUUGCCUCUUGCCAGGGAGGAGACCCCAUC
ensembl:lncRNA LINC01879 long intergenic non-protein coding RNA 1879